UACGUAGGUGGCAAGCGUUGUCCGGAUUUACUGGGCGUAAAGAGCGCGCAGGCGGUCGUUCAAGUCGCGUGUGAAAGCCCCCGGCUCAACUGGGGAGGGUCACGCGAUACUGAUCGACUCGAAGGCAGGAGAGGGUAGUGGAAUUCCCGGUGUAGUGGUGAAAUGCGUAGAUAUCGGGAGGAACACCAGUGGCGAAGGCGGCUCUCUGGACCGAUACUGACGCUGAGGCGCGAAAGCGUGGGGAGCAAACAGG
rnacentral:rRNA from 1 species